GAUGAACGCUGGCGGCGUGCCUAAUACAUGCAAGUCGAGCGAACGGACGAGAAGCUUGCUUCCCUGAUGUUAGGGGCGGACGGGUGAGUAACACGUGGAUAACCUACCUAUAAGACUGGGAUAACUUCGGGAAACCGUAGCUAAUACCGGAUAAUAUUUUGAACCGCAUGGUUCAAAAGUGAAAGACGGUCUUGCUGUCACUUAUAGAUGGAUCCGCGCUGCAUUAGCUAGUUGGUAAGGUAACGGCUUACCAAGGCAACGAUGCAUAGCCGACCUGAGAGGGUGAUCGGCCACACUGGAACUGAGACACGGUCCAGACUCCUACGGGAGGCAGCAGUAGGGAAUCUUCCGCAAUGGGCGAAAGCCUGACGGAGCAACGCCGCGUGAGUGAUGAAGGUCUUCGGAUCGUAAAACUCUGUUAUUAGGGAAGAACAUAUGUGUAAGUAACUGUGCACAUCUUGACGGUACCUAAUCAGAAAGCCACGGCUAACUACGUG
rnacentral:rRNA from 1 species